CUCUGCUAAACACACUUCAUCACCCCACAGUGAAGUUUGUGAAUCCUGCUCUGUAGAGUUGCUAUAGAAAUAGUUAUACACUUGUCAGCACACUUCAUGAAGCCAAUGAUCUAAUCCAAUAGACAUCCCUCCCCCCCACCACGAUUAUCAUCUUCAGCAACUCAUUCUAAUACAGACAACCAGGUAUUUUUUAUUACUUCAUGUUGCUUUAAUAAUGCAGCUUCAUAUCCCUGAGGAUGUCAAUAGCUGCAGUGAAAUUUGGCUUUCCAGAGCACACUCAUCAUAUUUUGCAAUGUUAAGAGCUAUUUCUCUGGCUUUGGGCUGCCCAGUGACUGUAGGAUGUGUCCAAUACUCUGCUCUAAAUGAGGAGCAACAAAGCCAUUAUCACAACUCCGUCCAGACAGAUGUAAAGAGUCUGUGCAGUUCUGGCGAGAACUAUGUACUGCAAGAAGAUCCACAGUUUCAAAUUUUCACAGUUGUUAGGGUUAACCCUGGUGGUCAGCUCAGCUGCUUGCUAACGUCCCCCCCAUCAGGCCCAGUGGAACAGGAGAAGAGAAAAGAAAGAACAAAAUAA
rnacentral:lncRNA from 1 species